rnacentral:rRNA from 1 species
AGGGAAUCUUCCGCAAUGGACGAAAGUCUGACGGAGCAACGCCGCGUGAGUGAUGAAGGUCUUCGGAUCGUAAAACUCUGUUGUCAGGGAAGAACAAGUUGUGUUCUAACAGGACAUGACCUUGACGGUACCUGACCAGAAAGCCCCGGCUAACUACGUGCCAGCAGCCGCGGUAAUACGUAGGGGGCAAGCGUUGUCCGGAAUUAUUGGGCGUAAAGCGCGCGCAGGCGGUCCUUUAAGUCUGAUGUGAAAGCCCACGGCUUAACCGUGGAGGGUCAUUGGAAACUGAGGGACUUGAGUACAGAAGAGGAGAGUGGAAUUCCACGUGUAGCGGUGAAAUGCGUAGAGAUGUGGAGGAACACCAGUGGCGAAGGCGACUCUCUGGUCUGUAACUGACGCUGAGGUGCGAAAGCGUGGGUAGCAAAC